GCCGAGGUAGCUCAAUUGGUAGAGCAACGAGCUGUUACCUCGUAGGUUACAGGUUCGAGUCCCGUCCUCGGCG
rnacentral:tRNA from 4 species